rnacentral:ncRNA from 1 species
UAAAUUGAGAGUUUGAUCCUGGCUCAGGACGAACGCUGGCGGCGUGCUUAACACAUGCAAGUCGAGCGAU